UGAGUCUGGUACAAGUACGAUAACAAUCAAAGACGAAACACUCCCACCCCCGAAAGAAACGGAGAUAAAAAAGAAAGCCAAAACACUACGACACCACCACCGAACAAACAAGGAAUGUUGCAGAGACCCACACGCAGGUGCGAGGGCACAGCCAUGGGUGCCAUCGUCUUGGAUCUCCGUCCCGGCCUCGGUAUCGGACCUUUCUCUCUCGGAAUGCCAAUAUGCGAAGCGUUUGUUCAAAUAGAGCAGCAACCUAAUAUUUACGAUGUUGUCCAUGUGAAAUACCUUGAUGAGGAGCCUCUAAAACUGGAUAUUGUUAUAAGCUUUCCGGAUCAUGGUUUUCAUCUUUGUUUUGAUCCUUGGUCACAGAGACUACGCCUUAUUGAAAUUUUUGAUGUCAAACGGCUUCAAAUGCGCUAUGCUACCUCUUUGAUAGGAGGACCAUCUACACUAGCUACUUUUGUAGCUGUAUAUGCACUUUUUGGACCAACAUUUCCUGGAAUUUAUGACAAAGAUAGAGGUGUUUACACACUAUUUUAUCCAGGUUUGUCUUUUGCUUUUCCAAUUCCAUCUCAGUAUACAGAUUGCUGUCAUGAUGGAGAAGCGGAGUUGCCCUUGGAGUUUCCAGAUGGCACUACUCCAGUAACAUGCCGUGUCUCAGUAUAUGAUAGCUCUACAGAUAGUAAAGUUGGUGUUGGUUCUUUAAUGGACAAGGCUUCUGCUCCUCCUUUGCCUGCUGGCAGCCUCUAUAUGGAAGAGGUGCAGGUUAAGAUUAGGGAAGAGUUGAGGUUUACUGUUGGCGGGCAGCAUAUCCCAUUUGGUGCAUCACCACAGGAUGUGUGGACUGAGUUAGGUCGUCCAUGUGGAAUUCAUCAAAAGCAGGUUGACCAAAUGGUGAUUCAUUCUGCCUCUGAUCCUCGGCCACGGACAACUCUAUGUGGUGAUUAUUUCUACAAUUAUUUCACUCGUGGCUUGGACAUAUUAUUUGAUGGGCAGACUCAUAAAAUCAAGAAGUUUGUUUUGCAUACCAACUAUCCAGGGCAUGCAGAUUUUAAUUCAUACAUAAAGUGCAAUUUUGCUAUCUAUAGUUCUGAUUUUGGUGGGUCUUUUCAUGAGGAAGUAAAUGCCUCUAAGCGCUGCAUUACACCCAGCACAAAAUGGGAGCAAGUGAAGGAGAUUCUUGGGGACUCUGGCCGAGCAGCUAUCCAAACACAAGGUUCUACAAGCAAUCCUUUUGGAUCUACUUUUGUGUAUGGUUAUCAGAAUGUUGCAUUUGAGGUUAUGAAGAACGGGUAUAUUGCAACUGUGACUCUCUUCCAGUCGUGACAAAAUUCUUAACCGAAAGCAGAGAAAGAGAACAGAGAGGAAGAGAAAACGGAGUCAAAGAAGAAGAGAGAGAGAGAGAGACCAAAGGGGAAUCGAAGCGCUAGGGUCAUUUUUUGGGUGGAAUCGACUUCGCGAUGUUGGUUUUUAGAUCUCCUUCAAUUCGGUCUAGUUCGCGACUAGGGUUCGUGCUUCGAUCUUGCUUCGCGACUCAACUUGCUUCGCAAAGGGUGUAGGUGGGUUUGUACUAAAUGUUUAUAAAGAAGCAAGAACUACUUGGAAUAAAUGCCACCGCGGGACUGUGUAUAGUCAUGUAAUCAUGUGUAAUUAUCAUUGAUAACCAAACAAGAGGAAUGAAAGGUAACAUGUCAUUUCCUUUCCUUCCGUUUCCCUAAAUUAAGUAUUGUCUAACCAUAGAAGAGGAGGAAUACCUCCCCUCUCUUGCCUUUCCCUUUCCCUCGCAACUUACACUUGGGUGGACUGUGGGUUCUGUCGUAUUUGUACCCUCUUUCUAUGACAUGGGAUGCAUACAUGUAUAGCUAGGAGAGAGAAAACACCACAAUACUAAUGUAAAUAGUUGGUUCAAGUUAUCUUGGUUGCAUGAUCUAUGAUGCUCUAUUUGGUUCACUGGAA